UGGUGGAGUGAUUUGUCUGGUUAAUUCCGAUAACGAACGAGACUCUAGCCUGCUAAAUAGUCACCAUGUAAUAAUUGCAUGGACUGACUUCUUAGAGGGAUUCGCUACUUUUAGUGACACGAAAUUGAGCAAUAACA
rnacentral:rRNA from 1 species